AUGGAAGGAAAACGCAUAGUACUAUUUUCUUAAUUAAACUUAUUUUUUCCUAUAGAAUAUUCGUGAGUUCUCGUCAGAAAUGAAAUGUUAGAAACUGCCCUAGCAUUCCCGCUCCACUUCCUCGCGACCGCCGGUGAAGCUCUCCGCUGCCAGACCAUUGUCCGAUAAUCAUUGCUAGAGAGCUUUGAGUCGCUGCCACCGUGCCCUGGACGACGUCACCUUGCCCAGCCUUCACCGUCGCCGUCUGUGCCGCCACCGUGCCCUGCCGUCACUUCCAUCGUGCUUAUAAGGAUAGCAAUCUCAGAUUGUCGUGCUUUGGAUUGAUGAAGAAUAGUAGAGAUGGGAAAAGCUACAUUACAAACUUGGCAUUUACUCCACCAGAGUACGGACUGUACUUUUGUCAAUGCUAGAUAUCGGGCGAUGAAGCAAUAGAAAUUGCAAAGCAAUUGGCUCUUCAAGAAGGCCUACUGAUCAUACAAAAAUGGCAUCCGUUAGCUACAGCGAGAAGCAAGUGAGAUAUGAACAAUCACUGGAUGUACCAACAUUUUAACAAUAGCAGGGAUACACUGAAGCCAAUGAAAUCCUAGCGAGACAUGGGUGGCUGACACUCGUCGUUGCCGAAGCACCUUUCAUCCUAAAGACUCCCAUCAACCAAUUCUAUGAGAAGCUCGCCAUAGAUACUGCCUGUGAUUUUGUCACCAAAAUCAAUGUUUUCACGUCUCCGGACUACAAGGAACAAGAGAAAGUGAGGAUCAAUGUUUCUGAAACAGUCCGCAAGCUAUAAAACCUGCCAAACAAUGGCCAUAUGCCCUCCUCCAUCCCAGACAAGGAGGCAAAUGAAAUUCUGAAGGCGACAACGCUUCGGAAGGAUA